rnacentral:rRNA from 1 species
AGCGCAGGCGGACCGGCAAGUUGGAAGUGAAAACUAUGGGCUCAACCCAUAAAUUGCUUUCAAAACUGCUGGCCUUGAGUAGUGCAGAGGUAGGUGGAAUUCCCGGUGUAGCGGUGGAAUGCGUAGAUAUCGGGAGGAACACCAGUGGCGAAGGCGACCUACUGGGCACCAACUGACGCUGAGGCUCGAAAGCAUGGGUAGCAACA